rnacentral:tRNA from 4 species
GCUUCAUUAGUAUAAUGGUUAUUAUAUCUGCCUUCCAAGCAGAGGAUGUCGGUUCGAUUCCGACAUGAGGCUCCA